rnacentral:rRNA from 1 species
AUUGAACGCUGGCGGCAGGCCUAACACAUGCAAGUCGAGCGAGCGGCGCACGGGUGAGUAAUGUAUGGGGACUGCCCGAUAGAGGGGGAUAACACCAGGAGACAGUAGCUCAUACCGCACACAAUCGCAUAACACAUAUGGGAUUAGCUAGUAGGUGAGGUAAUGGCUCACAUAGGCGACGAUCCCUAGCUGGUCUGAGAGGAUGAUCAGCCAAACUGGGACUGAGACACGGCCCAGACUCCUACGGAGGCAGCAGUGGGGAAUAUUGCACAAUGGGCGCAAGCCUGAUGCAGCCAUGCCGCGUGUAUGAAGAAGGCCCUAGGGUUGUAAAGUACUUGCAGUCGGGAGGCGUUACCGACAGAAGAAGCACCGGCUAACUCCGUGCCAGCAGCCGCGGUAAUUC